GCUAAGCAACUAUAGUCAAAGUGGCUCCUAACUAAACUUUUAUACAACAUUGAGAGAAUUUUUGGAUCAGCACCCCAAAAAACUCCUGCUAAACAUCUCAAUAUAUUGAGUCGCUUAAUGGGCAAAACACACUGAGUUUUCCACUCGUCGGGAAUAACUUGUUUGGACCAUAGGUGAUUGUAGAUAUUAAGAAGAACUGCUUGUGCAUUUUUGUGUAAGUUUUUAAUCAUUAAAUAUGGAAAAUUAUCCAGUCCAGGAGUAGAAUCUCUUCUUGACAUUAAGGAACUAUAAAAUUCAUCCCAGCUAAAAUCUUUC